rnacentral:snRNA from 1 species
GGAUGUGGAGUGAUCCGACCAUGACAUCUGUCACUCUUGAUUUGACUCAUCCAGCUGGCUAGGCAAGUGUCCCCUUCCUCCUGCACUGCUCCAUGUGCGUCUCUCCUGAAGCUGUGUGUGUGGCUAACGAGGGUAACUUUCCUCCUAGAGGAGAACUGGUCUUCAGUCAAGCGUGUCUGAGUAGCUGGGUUCCCCAGCUUUCUAGAACCUCCAGGCAAGCUCUCAAGAUGGUGUUGCCUGCUUCAGCCUGGGUCCCUGAAUGACCAAGUGGAGCAAAGAUCCAGCCCAUUUCCAUCUGCACCUACCU